CUCGUUUUGUUUGUUUGCUCACUGCAAUUAUGUUAUCUAGUCUUGAAUUGCCAUGUGACAAAUAUGAAGAUUUACAAGCCCAAAAAAUUGUCUUAGAAUCAAAUGUUAAAAUCAUAAGCUAUCUCGAUGGCCAAAAUUACGCAAUAAAAUUCAUUAUAAAUAGACAAUUUCAAUCCUAUAUAACAAGAAAAACAACCAAGAGUUUCCAAUCUCAUAUCUCAAAAUAUGCCACUACGUACAAGCAACAAGACUAGGAAACUUCAAUUCAAGCUAAAUCAUAUGUACUACAAUAAACCCAGCUACAAUAAAGAGGUGUUUUAGAACCGAUAGACUUGGAUUUCUAGCC
rnacentral:lncRNA from 1 species